CGUUUGUCCAGCGUCGUCCUUUUUUUCACCGUGUUCAACCCGGAAAAAAAAUACACGAAACACUAAGGCAGUCGCUUACAAGGAAUUCAAUGAAUAAACACACAAAGAGAAGUUAGAAGAGUUAUGUGUCAACAAAUGAGCACACAUCAGGAAAAUGGACUCUUUGUCGAGCCAAAAUGCAAAACGUGAAUGAGAGGACACGUCAAGACUCGCCAUGAGAUUUUAAAACAUUUUUUUAUUCCUGUCAUGACUUUUCCAAGUGUUUUCGCUCCCCCCUCGAAUGUACCGAAAAGGAUAACCUAUCAAGAUGAUGAGAGAAAGAGAUAAGAAUCACCGGCACCGGACGCUGUCGUCGAAGAUAACCUGAUCCCCGCCGUGCACCUCCCCCCCACCGCUCUCCAAAUUUCAAACUGAGUGACUCGUUGAGAUGGACGUAAUGAGACAGGUUGGGAAGAGGAGGAGAAAGGAGAGCAGGCCCACGAAGGAGCGCAGCCAAGGUGAAAAACAAUCAGGCCCGUCUUCGUUUGCUCGGAUGCAAGUUUGAUCAUCCAUGUGAGUAAUAUCUUUUCUUUUUAGUCUGUGACCUUUUCUGUCGAAGAAAGUACGCUAAACUGUAAUCAAGGUGAUGGCGCGUGUGGAAAAUGGUCACUGGAUUUUACCGCCUCCAAAUGAAUUGGUUCAUCCAACAUGCCGCUGACUAUGAUUACUUUGAGAUUUAAUUUCGCGACAGGGCAAAAUAAAAGUGGAACCAAACUAUUUUUGAAAUGAGGUUUGGGCAGGAGACAUUCCAUUACUUACUUGCAAUGUUUUGUGGU